rnacentral:misc_RNA from 1 species
UCAUAGUAAAAGAGCAAUGUCUGCUCAUAUUAUCCGUGAUUGAAAUUCCGAAAUAUAGAUGUGUGGGCCCUGUGCAACAAGACCCCGUGAACCAUGUCAGGCGGGAGACCGAGCAGCAUUAAGCGGUGCGUGUUGUGUGCCGCAGCAAGCCUGCACAUCUAUGUUCCGGAAUUUUUCUUUGA